rnacentral:rRNA from 1 species
AGUGAACGCUGGCGGUAGGCCUAACACAUGCAAGUCGAACGGCAGCACAGUAAGAGCUUGCUCUUACGGGUGGCGAGUGGCGGACGGGUGAGGAAUACAUCGGAAUCUACUUUUUCGUGGGGGAUAACGUAGGGAAACUUACGCUAAUACCGCAUACGACCUACGGGUGAAAGCAGGGGAUCUUCGGACCUUGCGCGAUUGAAUGAGCCGAUGUCGGAUUAGCUAGUUGGCGGGGUAAAGGCCCACCAAGGCUACGAUCCGUAGCUGGUCUGAGAGGAUGAUCAGCCACACUGGAACUGAGACACGGUCCAGACUCCUACGGGAGGCAGCAGUGGGGAAUAUUGGACAAUGGGCGCAAGCCUGAUCCAGCCAUACCGCGUGGGUGAAGAAGGCCUUCGGGUUGUAAAGCCCUUUUGUUGGGAAAGAAAAGCAGCAGGUUAAUACCCCGCUGUUCUGACGGUACCCAAAGAAUAAGCACCGGCUAACUUCGCG